rnacentral:rRNA from 1 species
UCGAGAAUAGUCUACAAUGGACGAAAGUCUGAUAGUGCGACGCCGCGUGGAUGAAGAAGCAUUUCGGUGUGUAAAAUCCUUUUCUGUGCGAGCAAAGGUUGGUAGGUAAAUAAUCUACUGAUAAGAUAUUAACACAGGAAUAAGCCACGGCUAACUCCGUGCCAGCAGCCGCGGUAAUACGGGGGUGGCAAGCGUUGUCCGGAAUCACUAGGCGUAAAGGGCAAGUAGGCGGAAAGAUAAGUCAGUUGUCAAAGGCAUCGGCUCAACCGGUGUAAGGCGAUUGAUACUGUUUUUCUAGAAUUAGGUAGGGGAAGACGGAAUUCCUGGUGUAGCGGUGGAAUGCGCAGAUAUCAGGAAGAACACCAAAGGCGAAGGCAGUCUUCUAUGCAUAAUUGACGCUCAAUUGCGAAGGUGUGGGUAUCAAACA